UACGGAGGGUGCAAGCGUUAUCCGGAUUUACUGGGUUUAAAGGGUGCGUAGGUGGGCAGGUAAGUCAGUGGUGAAAUCUCCGGGCUUAACCCGGAAACUGCCAUUGAUACUAUCUGUCUUGAAUAUCCUGGAGGUGAGCGGAAUAUGUCAUGUAGCGGUGAAAUGCUUAGAUAUGACAUGGAACACCAAUUGCGAAGGCAGCUCACUACGGGAUUAUUGACACUGAGGCACGAAAGCGUGGGGAUCAAACAGG
rnacentral:rRNA from 1 species